GCGCGAAAACUUUACAAUGCUGGCAACAGCGAUAAGGGAACCUCGAGUGCCAGGUUACAAAUCUGGCUGUCGAGAUGUCUAAAAAGCAUUUCAUAGCAAGGGCCGGGCAAGACCGGUGCCAGCCGCCGCGGUAACACCGGCGGCUCGAGUGGUAACCGUUAUUAUUGGGUCUAAAGGGUCUGUAGCCGGCCGGAUAAGUCUCUUGAGAAAUCUGGCAGCUUAACUGUCAGGCUUUCAGGAGAUACUGUCUGGAGCGAGGCCGGGAGAGGUGAGAGGUACUUCAGGGGUAGGGGUGAAAUCUUGUAAUCCUUGAAGGACCACCAGUGGCGAAGGCGUCUCACCAGAACGGACCUGACGGCAAGGGACGAAAGCUAGGGGCACGAACC
rnacentral:rRNA from 1 species